GGGGUAGUGGCUCAGAGGUAGAGUGCUCGCCUAGCAUGCGUGAGGCACUGGGUUCCAUCCUCAGCAUCACA
rnacentral:tRNA from 1 species